GGUGCAAUUGCUGGAUUAUAUGGUAAGAAUAUUUUUAAUUUUUGACGAAAUUGCCCAACUAUUUUCCAGAGUGGCUGUACCAUUUUAUAUUCCCACUAGCGAU
rnacentral:pre_miRNA from 1 species